CUAGGUCGCCCACCAGUAUAAUGCGGGAAUACUUUCUGUUCUAGGUCGCCCACCAGUAUAAUGCGGGAAUACUUUCUGUUCUAGGUCGCCCACCAGUAUAAUGCGGGAAUACUUUCUGUUCUAGGUCGCCCACCAGUAUAAUGCGGGAAUACAUCCAUGUUCUAGGUUGCCCACCAGUAUAAUGCGAGAAUACUUUUUGUUCUAGGUCGCCCACCAGUAUAAUGCGGGAAUACAUUCAUGUUCUAGGUCGCCCACCAGUAUAAUGCGGGAAUACUUUCUGUUCUAGGUUGCCCACCAGUAUAAUGCGGGAAUACAUUCAUGUUCUAGGCCGCCCACCAGUAUAAUGCGGGAAUACUUUCUGUUCUAGGUCGCCCACCAGUAUAAUGCG
rnacentral:lncRNA from 1 species